CUAACCUUGAACUGAUGAUUGAUAAAUAAUCAUUCAAGUUGGGAAGGAUGACGUAAUAUCAUGCUCUGCUGACAUGACACAAGAGACUCAUUUGGAACAGCUGAUAGUCACCUCAGAAGAUGGAGAGGCAAUUUGGUAUUUUUCAAAAUACCUUCUCCAUGAUCCAUAAUACAUAAAAAAACACACAUACGCCUGGACAGUGUAUACAACUCUAGAGGGCUUUUAAUUUGAAAACAGGGCUUUUAAUUUGAAAUACAUAUUAGAACUGGAGAAAUACCAGAAGAGACUGUGGCUUUGUCUCUUCCCUCUUCUGCUCCGCAAAACCGAGAGACCGGCGGAACAAGUCCAUUAAGCGAGUUCAUCUCCAACGAAGGUUUUACCGCGUUAAAGACACUUUAGAAAGAAAGAAUGGCGCUACAAAGAAUUCUGAUGGAGAAGAAAGGGACGCUGCUCUCUCGGCUCCAACCUCUACACAUUGGUGUGGUCUGCAUUAAAGACCAGCCAAGGGUUGUCUCAUGGAAUUUCACCGACAGCGGGACACACAGUUUUUCAGUUCGACACCAGUGCUGGUGUCACAGAAGCUGCAGAUGGAGGCGGAGAGGCUCCUCAAUCCCGUCUCCAAGAUGAGUCCCUUGAAAGGCAUCAAGAAGACGCAGGGAUUGGUGACGGUGGAGGGGGAGGUGGUGAAGAUCUCCGCCAUCAAACGGAUGCAGGUGAAGAACAAUGUGGUGCCCCUGAGGAUGCUGAAUUUACAGGAAGACAGCACACAGGUUGCAGUAAACCUGUGGAGGGAGGCAGCUGUGUUGCCACUCCAGAAGGGAGCCCAAAUAAAGCUUACACAUUUGAGAUCAGUCACAUCAAAAUAUGGACACCACCUGCAGUCCACAACCUUUACAGCAUUUGAGGACGUCCCAGUCAAAACUUGCAUUCUGGGUGUGAUGGGAGUGCUGGAGUGCGAUGACAAGCCGGGAAUGUUGCAGCUUCUGGUGCAGGAGAAUGAUACUGUGUUUGAAACUGAGCUGGCUGUUUGGCACCCAAUAGGGAAGAAAUUGUGCAGAGUGCCAUUCAAAGUCAAAGUUCAAACCGUUGGAAAAAAGAUAAUUAGUGUUGAGGCCGUUGAGGAAGAGGAGGAAGAGGAGGAAGAGGAGGAAAAGGAAGAGGUGUACUGUACUUAAGCGAAAAUUUGAGACAUUCCUCAAUAACAUUAAGCUUGACUUCAACCACCGAGCGCCAACUGAGGGUAGAUCUUCCCCUAAAUCUCUGAAGGCUAUCCGACACACUGGCAGCUAACUGAGUGUACCAUAACAGGCAUGUAAUAAAAAAAACCCUGUGCUGAGAGUCUCUACUGAGUUUUUGUGUCAUUGUCCAUUGUCGGGAGUUUGAC
rnacentral:lncRNA from 1 species